GGCCCCAAGGUAAAACCAAAGGAAUUGACGGGGGGCCGGCACAGGCAGUUGAGCAUGUGGUUUAAUUUGAAAGCAACGGGAAGAACCCUUACCAAGGGCUUGACAUCCCAUUGACCGGGUAUAGAGAUAUACCUUUUCUUCGGAACAAUGGUGACAGGUGGUGCAUGGUUGUCGUCAGCUCGUGUCGUGAGAUGUUGGGUUAAGUCCCGCAACGAGCGCAACCCUUGAUCUUAGUUGCCAUCAUUAAGUUGGGCACUCUAAGGUGACUGCCGGUGACAAACCGGAGGAAGGUGGGGAUGACGUCAAAUCAUCAUGCCCCUUAUGUCUUGGGCUACACACGUGCUACAAUGGCUGGUACAGAGGGUAGCAAAGCCGCGAGGUGGAGCCAAUCCCAAAAAGCCAGUCUCAGUUCGGAUUGUAGGCUGCAACUCGCCUACAUGAAGCAGGAAUUGCUAGUAAUCGCGGAUCAGCAUGCCGCGGUGAAUACGUUCCCGGGCCUUGUACACACCGCCCGUCACACCACGAAAGUUUACAACACCCAAAGUCGGUGAGGUAACCAUUUAUGGAGCCAGCCGCCCAAGGUGGGGUAGAUAAUUGGGGUGAAGUCGUAACAAGGUAACCGUAA
rnacentral:rRNA from 1 species